UGUCCUCCCAAGGAGGCAGAGGCAGUUGGAUCGCUAUAAAUAGGAGGCUAGCCUGGUCUACAUAGCAAAUCCCAGACUAACCAGAGGUGCACGGUGAGAUAUAUCUUAUUUUCUUUUUCUUUUCCUAGUGCCUAUCUUUAUUGAUCAUAUUUUUAUGCUUUUGGUAUUCAUAUCUUUUAUGGAAAAAUUUCUAAUUAGGUCUUUGGACAUUUUUAUAAAAUUGAAAAUUCCUAUUAGUUAAACUUAUUGUUUUUUUAUAUGUUCUGCAUGCAAGUCUUUGAUCAAAUAUAUGAUUCAUGAAUACUUUCUCUCACUCUGUGAAUUGCUUAUUCUCUUAACAACAUCUUGUGAAGAAAACAUAUUUUCUUUACCCUAGCCCCCUUUUGAAUUGUAAUUUGGUCUUUUGUUCACAUAAUCUUUGCUAUGAUUAUAGCGAUUUCCCUCCUUGGUUUUAUAGGUUUAGCUUUAUAUCUGUGACCAGUUCCAAGCUAAUCCUUACACAUGGUUAAAUAUUGAACAAAAAUCUUGUUUGUAUCUUUUAACAGGUGUCUUAGUUUCUUUUCUGGUUACCAGGAUAAAAUACCUCAGCGAAGAAACUUAAGGAGAAAGGGUUUAUCAUGUCCUGCAGUCCAAGAGUCCAGUACAUCAUGUCUAGGAAACCAAGGUGGCGGGAGCUUGAAGCUAUUGGUCACAUCAUGUCCACUGACCAGAAGUGGAGAACAAAAACUCAUCCUAGUUGUCAACCCAUUUUCCCAAAUUCAUACAGGACAGAAUCCCCUGACCCAAGAAUCGUUCUACCCACAAAUGUCCUCACAUCGACGAGCAUAAGCAAGGUAAUUACACGUAGACAUUCUUGGAGGCUAAUUUCAGUGGAGAGACUCCUUCCCGAGGCUUCUCUCCUUGGUAAUUCUACAUUCUGUCAAAGUGAUAAUUAACUCUGAUCAUCAUAGCAGGUACGAGCCAUUGCCCCAGUAAUUUCUGGUGAAUGGCUCUCAUUUCUUCACCAGUCUUCUUUUGUACCUUUGUCCAGUAUCUGCUAUUCAAAUACGUGUGGGUCUAUGCCUGGACCCUGUAUUCUGAUUCAGUAUUUGUCUUGAUACUAACAUUAUUACAGUGUUUGCUAGUUUUAUAAGAUGUAUGGAAGACGUAUUGUUUGGAGCCUUUCCACUUUGAUUUGGCAAAAUUAUUUUGACCAUUACAUGUCCUUUGCAUUUCUGUAAGAAUAUUAGAACCAGCUUCCUGCUUUGAGGAUUGCAUAGGAUAUGUAGGUUAAUUCAAAGAAUCAAUAUCUUAUCAGUGUGGGGUUUUCUCAUUCAUGGCCAAGAUACAUGCCUUUCAUUUAUUUAGGUCUUUAGUUUUUCUCAGUAGUUGUAGCAUGUAAUUAUUGGACUUACACCCUAAAUCUUUGAUUUUUCUGAUCCAAAGUGUUUUCUUUAUUUAUAUUCUUUUCCCAGUACACACACACACACACACACACACACACACACACACACACACACACAUAUAUGUGUGUGUGUGUGUAUUGUAAUAUAUUCAAGUUUUUCCUACAUUUCUAAUAUAUACAAGUUUCCCCUACAUUUCUGUAGUUUUUCUAAUCAUGCCAAUACAGGAAGAGAGUUUUGUUUAUUAUUCACUCUGAAUAUCUUUCAUUUCUUUUUCUUGUCUGAUUGCGCUGGCAAGAGUCUUCAAUGCGACGUCAUUCAAGCUUUAAGAACGAGCGCUCUGUCUUUUCCCUUUUGUUCCCCCAAGAAGCCGAGCAUUCAGUCUUCACGGCUAAGUGUUGUCUUUAGUUUUCCUGUAUGUACUCUAUUAUGUUGAUGGGUGUUCUAGCUUUCUUCCUAUUGCCGUCCAAAAACACUCCGAGAAAGCACAACCUUGGGCAAGGAAAGGAUGUAUUUGGCUUGCACGUUCAGGUCCAGUCAUCGAGGGGCGUCCAUUAUGGAGAGAAGUCAGGACGGAAAUGUAAGCGGGACCUUAGAGGCAGGCCUACACACACAGCAUCCACACAGCUCCACACAGCAUCGCCUCUAAUCAGGAAUUCUCAACUACGAAGUGCUCAGAAACUAAGGAGGAAUGAUGCUUGAGGGUCUUCUCGCUGGCUUAUACUUAGCAAGCUUUCUUGUAGCCUAGGACUACUGGCUCAGGGAAGAUUGACAGCACAGCAGAGGCGGGGCCAUCUACAACAACUAACAAUCAAGACAACCUGCCACAGAGGUGCUCACAGGCCAGUAUGAUCUAGCUAAUUUCGUAGCAGAGCCUCUCCUCUCAGAUGACCCCAGGCUGUGUCAGUUGACAAAUAAAUUAACCAGGACAAGAAAGGUCACAUUUUCAAUUAGAAAUUGUUACCGAUUUUGUCAGUUUUUUCCUAAGCCUCCUGAUAUAAUCAUGAUUUUUUUCUUUUUAAUUUUUUUAAUAUGAUGAAUUAUGUUUAUAUUUGAGUGUUAAACCAACUCUCUGUCCCUUGUGUAAGUUCCCCCUCAUAAUUGUGUAUCAGACCGGAUUAAAUUUCUUAAAAUAUU
rnacentral:lncRNA from 1 species